GGUCACGUUACUAACUUAACUCUUUAAUUAUUUUUAUAAUUAUUUUCCUUCGCUCUCCCAUUUAAAUUCUCUAAUUCCUCGUAUAGGACCACUGACGUGACGUCAUACCUCGGUGAUGGAACAUACUCCACCUAUCGAGAAUUAUUUCGCGUUCGGUGAGUUUGACGUCGUACUCUUGGAAGGAGAGACGAAUGUUCAUCACUUGACCUGUGGCUGUAGGUGAAGUUGGUUGCUACCAUAGAAUAUUAGAAUGGCGGUUGGUUUUUUAUUUUAUAACAUCAGUGAAAAGAAAAAAAAUUACCACAAAUGGUUUUCUACAGUAGGGUGGCAUGUGGGUAGAACAACCCCUCUUGGAAUCGGAAUAGAAAUCACCGCCAUUUUGGAGUAACCACAUGGUGAACUCAUAGCCCUUUGACACCUAGGGAAACCACUACAGCCACAGUCAAGUCGCCAGGGAAUACAUCCUUUUGGGAGCAAGCUAUGGGAGCGUUCCAGCUCAAUUUUCGUCUUGGCACCUGGGCCUACAGGAGUCAUGGGGUCGCACCAUCCUGGUGCAUCAUUUUCUAGGAUGCAACCGCAACCUCGUUUGGGAACAUUUAGUGAGGUGUUUUAGUAACUAUUGGUUUUUUUUUAUAUUUCAGACUAUCUGUUAAAUACACUAUGUUUUUUUUUCAGAUUUAGGUUACCUCUGGUUUUUUUUUGACAUAUUUGUAUAUUAGAUUAUUUCGUUCCCAAACUUUGUAUCUACGGUAACUUCUUGUGCACAGGAAUAAGCCUAGAGAAAAUUAGGUUUUUAAUGCUUUAUUAUUGCUUUGAUAUUGGUUUAUGUAAUUUGGGUAAAUUUAUUUUUUUAAUAUUACUAGCUUGUUUCCCAAAUAUUUUACUGUUAUUCGCUUUAUUCCAUUUGUUCGGUUAAUUUAGGUCAUCGUCGGUAUUCAUCUCAACUUCAUUUCUACUUUAGUCAAUUGUAUAUUUAACUUUAUUUAUUCAUUAUUGUAUUUUCCCUUAGUGAGGCUUGGGCCUAUUUAUUUGUAUUAUUUUCAUCUUUGUCGGUUUCAAUUCAGUUGUACGUAGCAGGCGUACUAUAACCAUUUGGUAGAAGACUUAUGUAAUUUUGUACCCUAUAUGUUAGUGAGAGGUACUUAUACCUGUAAUUUUGUAACAGAUAACAUUAUUGUUGUUAUCUUAGAGAUAACUUUUUGUAUAACUUAUGUCAUUUUAGAGUCACAUGAUAUACACUUUGUGUAACUCAGAGAUUGUCAAAAAUCUAGUAGUUAUUUUUAAUAAAUAUGUAUUUAUUUUGUA
rnacentral:lncRNA from 1 species